CAGUAGCCGCGGUAAUACGUAGGUGGCGAGCGUUGUCCGGAAUCAUUGGGCGUAAAGGGAGCGCAGGCGGGCAUAUAAGUCUUUCUUAAAAGUUCGGGGCUCAACCCCGUGAUGGGAAAGAAACUAUAUGUCUUGAGUACAGGAGAGGAAAGCGGAAUUCCCAGUGUAGCGGUGAAAUGCGUAGAUAUUAGGAAGAACACCAGUGGCGAAGGCGACUUUCUGGACGAAAACUGACGCUGAGGCGCGAAAGCCAGGGGAGCGAACGGGAUUAGAUACCCCUGUAGUCCCUGUCUCUUAUACC
rnacentral:rRNA from 1 species